rfam:Solenopsis invicta Si_gnG.contig12945, whole genome shotgun sequence.
AUACUUACCUGGCGUAGAGGCUACCGUGAUCACUAAGGCGGUUCCUCCAGGGUGAGGCUCUUCCAUUGCACUACGGUGAGGGCUGACCCCUGCGAAUAUCCCUAAUGUGGAUAUCUCGUGCGUAAAAUUUUUGUUAGUCGGGACUGCGUUCGCGCUAUCCCGG